rnacentral:rRNA from 1 species
UACGUAGGGUGCAAGCGUUGUUCGGAAUCAUUGGGCGUAAAGCGCGUGUAGGCGGCUUUCUAAGUCUGAUGUGAAAUCCCAGGGCUUAACCCUGGAAGUGCAUUGGAUACUGGAGAGCUAGAGGAUAAGAGAGGGAAGUGGAAUUCCUGGUGUAGGGGUGAAAUCCGUAGAUAUCAGGAGGAACAUCGGUGGCGAAGGCGGCUUCCUGGCUUAUUUCUGACGCUCAGACGCGAAAGCAUGGGUAGCAAACAGG